AAUACCCACUUGUAUCCAACAGGCGACACACCUUCUGGUGUUUGGACUACAGGUCCAAAUACUUCAUGUUUUGCUAGUGAGUUCAAUUCUGCCUGAAUUGCUUCCUUCCACAUUGGCCAAUCAUUUCUACGUCGACAUUCUUCGACGGAUUGUGGUUCAAUAUCAUCAUUACUUCUGGUACCUGUUCCUCUUCAGGGGGUAACUCUUCAGGAGAUUCCUCUUCAAGAGGUUCCUCUUCAGGGGAUUUCUUUUCAGGAGAAUUUUGUACAGAAAGUUUGGAUGGAUCAAUUUCCGUUGCCUGUUUUGUGGGUAAGGCCUCUUCAGGAGCGCCGAUUUCAUUUCCUUGUGCUUUUCUCUUCCGGGGAAUCUUAUCCUUUGCACCAAUAGGUCUUCCACGCUUCAGGCGUGCCUUAGACUCAUUUGCUGCUGUAUUAGUUAAUUGUCCUACAGGGACUUCUAUCUUUGCUGAAGUAUUAGCAGCUGGAAUGUGAGACUUAAUUAUUUUCUUGUUGUCAGUAAAUGCAUCCGGCAAUUGAUUUGCAAUACUCUGUAAAUGAAUGAUCCUCUGAACUUCUAGUUCACAUUGAUUUGUACGAGGAUCAAAAUGUGAUAACGUCGAAUUUUUCCAA